CCUGGGCUCGCGCCCCGCCCACCGCUCACGCUCCUCCCACCUCGGUGACUCGGCAACACGGCCAGAGGCUUUAGGGCGUGCCUACUUCCUCUUCCUCUACUAUCACGUGAAUUGGCGGCUUGUCUUGCAACUGUAGAACCAUCGCUGCUCCCGAGGCAUAAUCGGCCUCCUUCUUGUCCUCUUGAAGUCACCAAGCCAACGGCAUUCGGUGGGCUGCGGGAGCGUUUGCGCCACCCGAUGCCUCCAAGAAUGCUCGGCAGAGUUUCCUACUUGCAACCAAGGGUGCUUGCACUCGGUCCACCACCCUCGUCUCUUUGGGUCCGCAGAGAAGCCAAGAAGCCACUUUGCCUCAAGAUCUCCAUGUCAAGAUUCAGGUCAGAAACUUGUAUCUCCCAGCCUCAAGAUCAGGAUCACAGCCACUUUGCCUCAAGAUCUCCAUGUCAAGAUUCAGGUCAGAAACUUGUAUCUCCCAGCCUCAAGAUCAGGAUCACAGGAAUGCAAACAGGACCCAGGACUGAGGCCUUCGAAGGAGCUCUUCUAGCUCCAGUCCACUGUCCCUCCAUUCCACUCCAGUGUUGGAGUGCUUAUUCCAGAAAGAUCCAGUAACAAGUUCUUUUUUUUUUUUUCUUUUUUUCCUUUUUUUCCGGAGCUGAGGACCGAACCCAGGGCCUUGCGCUUGCUAGGCAAGCGCUCUACCACUGAGCUAAAUCCCCAACUCCCACUAACAAGUUCUUAAGAACUUAGUGGGUCCUUCUAGACAGGUGAUUUGAUAGCUGGUUCUUAACCUAGAUUGUAGGACAGAUUUAGGGAGCCCCUGAUCCCACCAAAAUUGUGGGCUUGGGGUUUCUUCCUUUCCACUCAGUUUCCAGAACUUUCAAGUUCUCCUCUAAACAAAACCUGUUGUCUUAGCUAUGUUCUUGGCACAUUUUAAAAACAUAUUUUAUGAGACAGGCCACCGUGUCUUUAAUCCCAGGUUUUGUAGAUCUCUGAGUUCCAGGAUGGCCUGGUCUACAAAAAAAUACUGUCUCAAGAAAAAACCAAAAAGACAAGCUG
ensembl:lncRNA